UCUCCGUUGGUGAACCAGCGGAGGGAUCAUUACCGAGUUUACAACUCCCAAACCCAAUGUGAACCAUACCAAACUGUUGCCUCGGCGGGGUCACGCCCCGGGUGCGUCGCAGCCCCGGAACCAGGCGCCCGCCGGAGGGACCAACCAAACUCUUUCUGUAGUCCCCUCGCGGACGUUAUUUUUACAGCUCUGAGCAAAAAUUCAAAAUGAAUCAAAACUUUCAACAACGGAUCUCUUGGUUCUGGCAUGGAUGAAGAACGCAGC
rnacentral:misc_RNA from 1 species